GAUGAACGCUGGCGGCGUGCCUAAUACAUGCAAGUAGAACGCUGAAGGAAGGAGCUUGCUCUUUCCGGAUGAGUUGCGAACGGGUGAGUAACGCGUAGGUAACCUGCCUGGUAGCGGGGGGUAACUAUUGGAAACGAUAGCUAAUACCGCAUAACAGUAGAUGUUGCAUGAUAUCUACUUAAAAGGUGCAAUUGCACCACUACCAGAUGGACCUGCGUUGUAUUAGCUAGUUGGUGAGGUAACGGCUCACCAAGGCGACGAUACAUAGCCGACCUGAGAGGGUGAUCGGCCACACUGGGACUGAGACACGGCCCAGACUCCUACGGGAGGCAGCAGUAGGGAAUCUUCGGCAAUGGACGGAAGUCUGACCGAGCAACGCCGCGUGAGUGAAGAAGGUUUUCGGAUCGUAAAGCUCUGUUGUAAGAGAAGAACGAGUGUGAGAGUGGAAAGUUCACACUGUGACGGUAUCGUACCAGAAAGGGACGGCUAACUACGUG
rnacentral:rRNA from 1 species